rnacentral:rRNA from 1 species
CAGUCGCCGCGGGAAUACAGAGGAUGCAAGCGUUAUCCGGAAUGAUUGGGCGUAAAGCGUCUGUAGGUGGCUUUUCAAGUCCGCCGUCAAAUCCCAGGGCUCAACCCUGGACAGGCGGUGGAAACUACCAAGCCGGAGUACGGUAGGGGCAGAGGGAAUUUCCGGUGGAGCGGUGAAAUGCGUAGAGAUGUGGAGGAACACCGAUGGCGAAGGCAGCCCCCUGGGCCAAUACUGACGCUCAUGCACGAAAGCGUGGGGAGCAGACAGGAUUAGAGACCCCCGUAGUCUCUGUCUCUUAUAC